rnacentral:rRNA from 1 species
GUGGGGAAUCUUGCGCAAUGGGCGAAAGCCUGACGCAGCCAUGCCGCGUGAAUGAUGAAGGUCUUAGGAUUGUAAAAUUCUUUCACCGGGGACGAUAAUGACGGUACCCGGAGAAGAAGCUCCGGCUAACUUCGUGCCAGCAGCCGCGGUAAUACGAAGGGGGCUAGCGUUGCUCGGAAUUGCUGGGCGUAAAGGGCGCGUAGGCGGACAGCUUAGUCAGAGGUGAAAGCCCAGGGCUCAACCUUGGAAUUGCCUUUGAUACUGGCUGUCUUGAGUUUGGGAGAGGUGAGUGGAACUCCGAGUGUAGAGGUGAAAUUCGUAGAUAUUCGGAAGAACACCAGUGGCGAAGGCGACUCACUGGCCCAAUACUGACGCUGAGGCGCGAAAGCGUGGGGAGCAAACAGGAUUAGAUACCCUAGUAGUCC